CUUCCUUUCGUAGUUCCUCUCUCCCAAAGAGAAUGAUCUCGUUAAGAGCAUGAGCCUCAAGCCCUCUAAUGCUCAAUCUCAACUCAACAAUAAUUUACACUAAGGUCCCGUUUGGCCAUGAGUUUUGUCAAAAAUAAAUUUGAGAUUUAUUUGGCAAAUACAUGUUUGGUCAUAGAUUUUACCUACAUUUUGGCAAAAUCCCAAAUUCUCAAUCCCAAAUCUCAAAAUCACCUCAAUUGCUGAUUUUGGACCAAAACAUGACCGUUAUAUUUUUUAAAUUUUUUAAAUAUUACCCCAAAUUUUUAUAGUUUGUAAAAGAGCCCACAUUUAUUACGACCAACUAAACCAUAUCUGCUCACUUGCCUCUCAUUAAACUCACGCGUUUGCUUUGCCCUCUAUAAACAGAAGAGAACUCCACCGCAAAUUCUCCGUGCCAAUCGAUUGCAAUCCACAACAAAGACGAAAUUUGAAGAAACGUAAAAGAAUGAAUAGACCACGUGGUUCAACUGAUAAAUCACGUGGUGCUUCUGCUGAUAAAUAGACAGAUGAUGAAACGUCGAUCAUCGUAAAUAUCCUAUAUGAUGAUGCGAGGAAGCACGUGUUUAAUGGUUCUACCAUCAGUGGUCCCUGACAUUUGGGCAAAUCAUGUGAAGCGAAAGCUGCCAUAACAAGAAGCAUUGAGAAUGAAGCUGAUGUUAGAUUAAUGGUGGAUCCACUGGACUCUGCAUUAGGAGCUUC